CAAUUGACAAAGUGGUCAACUGACUUCUCAACAUCUAAACGUGUACCCAGGACGGCUCUCGAGCCUUAAUCAGAGAAGCUUCUCCUCACAGUGAUCAGCAGUGAGUGCAGAAUCGUAACUGCCCUGGAUGCAGAAGCGAGCACCUCUGCCCCGAAAAACCUGUCAAGAAAGAACGGAGACAUCUUUGGUGGCAGAACAGGCUGAGACAAAGAACGGAGACGACAUCUUUGGUGGCAGAACAGGCUGAGACAGGCUCGCUGGUCUCAUCAGCAACUCUAAAGAUCCAAACGCUGAAAACCGCAGGGUUCCUACCAUCAAGAUGUGUCCCCAGACCCUGCUUGAUAGUGUUUCGAGGAAUGAGAAGCAAACCCAGAGACUCAACACCACUCAAACGCUUCCCUAUUGACCUCCCAUCCCCAAGCCCACUUAAUUUUUAAAUUUAAGUUCACCAACUGCUUUGCCAUUAAGAUGACUGUUAGGUGAUGGUCGGGUUUCCCUCCUACCUCCUGAAGGUGUGAGGGAGUUGAAAUACAACCAGCACACACAACUCAAGAACCACAUAGCCACGCAACAGUGAAAAGAUUGGGGCAGGGGGAUCAGGAGUUCAAGGCUAGCCUCAACUACAUAGCACAUUCUGGACCAGCCUGGGAUACUCUCUCUCUCUCUCCCUCUCUCUCU